rnacentral:rRNA from 1 species
GAUGAACGCUGGCGGCGUGCCUAAUACAUGCAAGUCGAGCGAACGGACGAGAAGCUUGCUUCUCUGAUGUUAGCGGCGGACGGGUGAGUAACACGUGGAUAACCUACCUAUACGACUGGGAUAACUUCGGGAAACCGGAGCUACUACCGGAUAAUAUUUUGAACCGCAUGGUUCAAAAGUGAAAGACGGUCUUUCUGUCACUUAUAGAUUGCUCCGCGCUGCAUUCGCUAGUUGGUAAGGUAACGGCUUACCAAGGCAACGAUGCAUAGCCGACCUGAGAGGGUGAUCGGCCACACGGGAACUGAGACAGGUUCCAGACUCCGAGGGUAGGAAGCAGUAGGGAAUCUUCCGCAAUGGGCGAAAGCCUGACGGAGCAACGCCGCGUGAGUGAUGAAGGUGCUCGGAUCGUAAAAUUCUGUUAUUAGGGAAGAACAUAUGUGUAAGUAACUGUGCACAUCUUGACGGUACCGAAUCAGAAAGCCACGGCUAACUACGUG